rnacentral:misc_RNA from 1 species
GAUGAAGAACGUAGCGAAAUGCGAUAAGUAAUGCGAAUUGCAGAAUUCCGUGAGUCAUCGAAUCUUUGAACGCACAUUGCGCCCUCUGGUAUUCUGGAGGGCAUGCCUGUCUGAGCGUCAUUGUCAACCCUCAAGCUCAGCUUGCUGUUGGGUCCCCGUCGUUGCUUUAACGGCGGACCCGAAAGGUAAUGGCAGAGUCCGUGAGACCCUAGACGCAGCGAGCUUCUAGCACGCGUCUGGACGUUUUUCGGGCUCGGUCUUAACUAGAUGAUAACUUCCGAUUGACCUCAGAUCAGGUAGGGAUACCCGCUGAACUUAAGCAUAUCAAUAGCGGAGGA